AUGAAUUUCACAGCAUCUGCUUUUUGUGUAAUUAUUGCAUUGUAAUGUUCGGUAUUUUAACCACUGAAUCAGACUUGGCAUCUUUCUCAAUGUUUUUUUAAACAUCAGAAAUCCUAUAACAGUUUACGACUGCCUGGAAGGUUGCAAACACGACAAAAUAAUUGUGCAUAGGCAAAAACAGGGAAAUCUGUUUAUGUGUACAGCACUGUUUGAAAUGGUCUUUACUUCCGGGCUCCUGGUUCUGUUAGCAGUAUAUUCCUGGCUUUCUUAACUUAUGGAGAAUAAGGGAUCCAGUCAUUGACAUGAUAACUUUAACUAUGAGGAAAAUUGUGGAAACACUUAUGACAUUCUGCAAACUAUUUGGUAAAUGGGGGCCCAGACAAGCUGACAGAAGCAAAGCAUAGAGCAAAAUAGUUGUUGAAAUCAAUGCAGUUACAGGCUGAAACAGAUCUCUAGCACAGUGCAAGAAAAGGACAAAUUAUAUGGUAGGACUUGCUACAGUAUUAAGUUAACACCAGAUGAUGGAUUCCUUCUAUCCAACCAUGGGGGAUGACUAUGAUACAGAAGAUGGUGCAAAUGGAAUAAAUAGAGGUGGCGUGGACACUGUUCUAUCAAACCAAAGUCUGCAGCAGCAUUUGCAUUCAUCAGCUGUUGAAAGUUGGUUUAAAAUGUACACCUUUUAAAUGUUUAACAUUCAAUGGUGACAAACAGUGCUGUAAUUAAACACAUCACAAUUCAUUAUUAUUAGGUCAGCCUUCUACAUCAGCUGCUAAUAAAAAUGAAGGCAGACUUCAUGGUAAGUGUCCUACACCCCUGACUCCAUGUAAACAUGCUAUAUCACAUGCUGUUGCACUAUUAUUAAUGUAUUAUGAUGAUUUCUGUUACAGACUCAGCAUAAGAAACAAACAGUUCAGUUGUACCAAUAAAUAUGGAUGAAGUCAGCAGUA